GACGAACGCUGGCGGCGUGCUUAACACAUGCAAGUCGAACGGAAAGGCCCUGCUUUUGUGGGGUGCUCGAGUGGCGAACGGGUGAGUAACACGUGAGUAACCUGCCCUUGACUUUGGGAUAACUUCAGGAAACUGGGGCUAAUACCGGAUAGGAGCUCCUGCUGCAUGGUGGGGGUUGGAAAGUUUCGGCGGUUGGGGAUGGACUCGCGGCUUAUCAGCUUGUUGGUGGGGUAGUGGCUUACCAAGGCUUUGACGGGUAGCCGGCCUGAGAGGGUGACCGGCCACAUUGGGACUGAGAUACGGCCCAGACUCCUACGGGAGGCAGCAGUGGGGAAUAUUGCACAAUGGGCGGAAGCCUGAUGCAGCAACGCCGCGUGCGGAAUAACGGCCUUCGGGUUGUAAACCGCUUUCGCCUAUGACGAAGCGUGAGUGACGGUAAUGGGUAAAGAAGCACCGGCUAACUACGUG
rnacentral:rRNA from 1 species